CUAACCAUCAAAGUUUUAAGGUUCAUGGAUGCAAGCUUAUAUUGGAUCUAAAAGAAAUUUUAUCAUAUCACAUAAUGGAUGUUUUUUGCUGGUGUUAGAGUGAAAUACAAAUACGCACACGUCACGUCCAGGUGAUCAUGAAGAAUUACCAUCAGAGGAAAUCUCAGAUAUAUUCUCCUGAUUGUGCAAGUUAUGCAAAGAAAAGAGCAACAUUUUAAUACAGAUGCUUAGAAAGAAAACACAAAUCAGCAUCAGCAUAAGGAAAUAAAGCAUCAGCAUCCAGCUAGCAUCAGCAUCAGCAUGUUAAAAACAGUAUUGCCAGAAUCAGCUUCAGCAAGCAAAGGAUAGAACUAGCAUAGAUAGCUUUGACCUUCAUAAAUGUCAGCAUUGACCUACUUAGUAUCAGGAAUAUUCUAGUUUACUGAUAUUACAGAUUCAUUUUUCAAAAAACGAAACCGCUAGAAGCUAUUGUUAUUUAAGUCGGGAAUAAAUAUGAAUAAUGUAUUUUUUGCGAUUAAUGCAAUCAAAACAAUUUUAAGAUAAAUAUCAAAUCGAUUUAAGAGUAAUAAUAACGCGAUAUUCUCCAUUCUGAAUCAGAUGAUCCCCAUCCUGAUGUGAUUGCUGUGGCCUCGCCACUAUUGUCAUGUUUUUACUUAUUGAACUUGAUAAUAAAAAGGCAACAUUUGGUCAUGAAAAAUAAGUUAAUUGAUACAAUUAAAGUAUGAUG